rnacentral:pre_miRNA from 1 species
UUUGAAUCUUAUAAAGUUGCCACCAGAAGGCGCGAUUUGCUAAAAUCGCGCCUUCUGGUGGCAACUUUAUAAGUUACUAU